UCUGGCACUUUCUCAGUUGGCUGCUUUGCUAAUUUUUGAACAUCUGCAGUCAAACUUGAAAUGUGGAGCCCAUUCGCAAGGUGCUAAUCAGGUAAACAUAACGAGAGUGUAAUAAACUUCAGUCAUUCACAAUCCAGAAAGUUAAAUGGACCAUUGAUCUGUGAGUGUUAAAGGAACAACUGAAGUCUGAAGUUAUCAAUGGAAAGCAUGCUGGUUUUUUUUUUUAACUCUGUCUUUCAUGAGGGGACCUAGGAGUUUUCCUCAUUACGUCCUUGAGCCAAAGAGAAGGAAAAAAGUUUAGUUUGAGGAGGAAAUGAAGUAUCGAACGAGCAGUCAAGUAAUGUAUGUAGCACUUUCUAAUUGAAAAACCUUUACAGUUAAUUGGCAGCUAAAUUACGACCUCAAUGCUGACCCUGUCACCUGUGAGCACGAGUACCCGUACUCGAGCACUCGAGGCGGAAAGUUUUGAAUGUCGCUGCACUUCAAAGCUGCUGUCCGGCGAGCACUUGACGGGAAAAUUGUCUCCCAGACUUGGCACUUGAGCGCACCUACCACAGCGCCCAAGGGCCGCAAUAAAGGUUUAUUUUUUUGGCAUUGGACAGGUAAUGGGAGUCAUCGUUUCGGCCGGGCUUCGAACAUAAGCAAAAUAUUGACAGAGCGGCAAGUCUAAGGCCAAAGGCACCGACCGAACUUGGCCCAUAGACAGACAUUAUACAUAUUCAUAUGCGAUAUGACGUUGCCGAUUCAUCGAUCAGCAUCGGCAGGUAAAGGUAAAUCACUGGCCCAUUCGAUCCAUGCCGAUCCGAUUCGAGCGGUGCCGACUGGUCCGCUUGGACGCAGUCCGAGCCGAUCCCUCGUUUUGCUGUUUACACACCGACACACACACACACACACACACACACACACACACACGCGCGUAAACAUCCGUUCAGUAUCGUGUUGGCCGUGCUCGAAUGUCGCAUUCAAAUGUUGUUUUUAGCCAUCGAAGUGGUAAAUUUCACCUGUGUACGCGGAGAGUCGACGACGACGGCGGUGGCGGUCUCUGCAUAGACCCAGCCACUUACAACAAAUGCAUUUGGGCGGCGGUCCCGCUCUUUGAUAGUGGACCACACACACACACACACACAGGCACGUCCACCACAUCUAUAUCCAAAUACAGCACCACUGACACUUGAGUUGAUUGAUUCGGAGAUGCAGCGUCCGCGAGAUGCAAAAAAGAAAGAAAGAAGGAAAAAAUCAAC